CAGCGCCUACGGGGGGCAGCAGUGGGGAAUAUUGCACAAUGGGGGAAACCCUGAUGCAGCGACGCCGCGUGAGUGAAGAAGUAGUUCGGUAUGUAAAGCUCUAUCAGCAGGGAAGAAAAUGACGGUACCUGAUUAAGAAGCCCCGGCUAACUACGUGCCAGCAGCCGCGGUAAUACGUAGGGGGCAAGCGUUAUCCGGAUUUACUGGGGGUAAAGGGAGCGUAGACGGCAGCACAAGUCUGGAGUGAAAUGCCGGGGCUUAACCCCGGAACUGCUUUGGAAACUGGGCA
rnacentral:rRNA from 1 species